rnacentral:rRNA from 1 species
AGCGGCGGACGGGUGAGUAACACGUGGGUAACCUGCCCAAGAGACUGGGAUAACACCUGGAAACAGAUGCUAAUACCGGAUAACAACACUAGACGCAUGUCUAGAGUUUGAAAGAUGGUUCUGCUUUCACUCUUGGAUGGACCUGCGGUGCAUUAGCUAGUUGGUAAGGUAACGGCUUACCAAGGCAAUGAUGCAUAGCCGAGUUGAGAGACUGAUCGGCCACAUUGGGACUGAGACACGGCCCAAACUCCUACGGGAGGCAGCAGUAGGGAAUCUUCCACAAUGGACGAAAGUCUGAUGGAGCAACGCCGCGUGAGUGAAGAAGGGUUUCGGCUCGUAAAGCUCUGUUGGUAGUGAAGAAAGAUAGAGGUAGUAACUGGCCUUUAUUUGACGGUAAUUACUUAGAAAGUCACGGCUAACUACGUGCCAGCAGCCGCGGUAAUACGUAGGUGGCAAGCGUUGUCCGGAUUUAUUGGGCGUAAAGCGAGUGCAGGCGGUUCAAUAAGUCUGAUGUGAAAGCCUUCGGCUCAACCGGAGAAUUGCAUCAGAAACUGUUGAACUUGAGUGCAGAAGAGGAGAGUGGAACUCCAUGUGUAGCGGUGGAAUGCGUAGAUAUAUGGAAGAACACCAGUGGCGAAGGCGGCUCUCUGGUCUGCAACUGACGCUGAGGCUCGAAAGCAUGGGUAGCGAACAGGAUUAGAUACCCUGGUAGUCCAUGCCGUAAACGAUGAGUGCUAAGUGU